UACGUAGGGUGCAAGCGUUAAUCGGAAUUACUGGGCGUAAAGCGUGCGCAGGCGGCUUUGCAAGACAGAUGUGAAAUCCCCGGGCUUAACCUGGGAACUGCAUUUGUGACUGCAUGGCUGUAGUGCGGCAGAGGGGGAUGGAAUUCCGCGUGUAGCAGUGAAAUGCGUAGAUAUCGAGAGGAACACCAGUGGCGAAGGCGAGUCCCUGGACAACACCUGACACUGAGGCACGAAAGCUAGGGGAGCAAACAGG
rnacentral:rRNA from 1 species